rnacentral:rRNA from 1 species
GAUGAACGCUGGCGGCGUGCUUAACACAUGCAAGUCGAACGAAGCAUUUGCGACAGAUUUUUUCGGAAUGAAGUUGCUUAUGACUGAGUGGCGGACGGGUGAGUAACGCGUGGGUAACCUGCCUUGUACUGGGGGAUAGCAGCUGGAAACGGCUGGUAAUACCGCAUAAGCGCACAAUGUUGCAUGACAUGGUGUGAAAAACUCCGGUGGUAUAAGAUGGACCCGCGUCUGAUUAGCUAGUUGGUGAGAUAACAGUCCACCAAGGCGACGAUCAGUAGCCGACCUGAGAGGGUGACCGGCCACAUUGGGACUGAGACACGGCCCAGACUCCUACGGGAGGCAGCAGUGGGGAAUAUUGCACAAUGGAGGAAACUCUGAUGCAGCGACGCCGCGUGAGUGAAGAAGUAAUUCGUUAUGUAAAGCUCUAUCAGCAGGGAAGAUAGUGACGGUACCUGACUAAGAAGCUCCGGCUAAAUACGUG